AACACAUGCAGAAUUUGUUUAAAAAACACAAGACAUAAACUUAAUCAGCUAGAAGCUAACCAUGAAAUAUCUUGGACUUGCUCUCCUCCUUCUUAUUCUAGUAUCUGGAACCUUCUGUAAAGAAGAUGGAAUCGAAAAAGAAACCAUCUUUUGUCAGUUUCAGAACGGUAUCUGUCGCCCACGUUGCCUUCCAUUUGAGAAGAAAAUAUUUGGUCUUGGAUGCCUUAUGCCUUUAGUGUGCUGUCUACAGGACAUCUCUGCACCUACAGAGUGAGACCGUGCUGAAUGAAAAAAAAAAUGACGGAAAACAUUGCCUGUGGAAUACUUGAUGUGCCUGCUACCAACUAUUAAUGUGCAUCCUGUUUAAACAUAUAUUUAGUUUUGCUAUUGCUUCAAAAACCUCAGUCGGUGUAGAUAAUGACUAAGGUCCUAUUGAUGUGUAUUUUAAUGUUUUAAAAUCAAAACAGUAACAUGCAGCACAAGUAGCCCAGUGAAAUGCAGCAUGCAGGUUUAUUCAGAGGCAGCACACCAUAAGGAUGAAAACAUAAACGCUUAUAUCCACAAACGUAAAAAAUGUACUUGUGGAUAUAAGCGUUUAUGUUUUCAUUCUUAUGGUGUGCUGACUGAAUAAACCCUUGUGCUGCAUUUCGUUGGGGUAAUUGUGCUGAAUUUUACUGUUUUGGUUUUAUUAUACAGCACUUGCAUCCAUUUGCUUUGGUUAAUGUCUUAAAAUGUAACAAAAUCCAUUCUCAGAUAAUUAGUUUUAACUGUACUAUUCAGUACAGAACAAGUCUAUUCAGAUUACAAAAUGUAAUUUUCUUUUAAUUACUUUUUUGCAUGAAUUGCUAGCAAAAUUCAAAUGAUAUUUGAUUUCAGUUUCUUUUUAAGCAUUUAUGAAUGCACUACAGCUUUAGGUGAUGAUUAAAAUAUGAUCUCCAAUGUAAAUCACAGAGAUGUGUGAGAUAAUCACAAUAAGCACAGAUAAAUCUUUUGCUGAUCACUCUUUUUAUGUCAUUUGCCAUUCCCACCAUGCAUAUCCACUAAGACAUGUCUAGCUCAGAUGAAUAUGCCAAUGGCCUCUUUACCUGCAGAAACGUUGCCAGCCACAAAGCUUGAGAUUCAGUAUAAAGACAACAAUGAGCCCCACAACUCAGUUUUCAAAGCAUAAUGCAUUAUUAGGGAAUGUAUUCAGUGAAAGGAUACAGAUCCAAUAAACCUUGAACACUUCCAUAGCAAGACAUCUAAUGAAUGACUGGCAAAAUAAGUCAAACUGAUUACAGCCAGUCAGUAACUUGCAGUCAUCCUGCCUCCAUUGUCAGUGGCUGUAGGACUACCUUUGUCAUGGGGAUAAGUGUAGUGAAUUUAACAGGGACUGUCCAAUGACAUUUUUCUGUCUAAGAUCCUUGUUAGGACAGCAAAUGUCCUACAUAUUACUUCAACAAACAGUCAAAUUCUCAACCAUCUUGGACAUUAUACAACCAUUUAUACUAUGGCACUCAAAGGACAAAAGUAUAAAGCCACAAUAGAUUUAAAAAACAUAACAGAGACAAAACAUAAAGAUGCACUAGAUAAAAGAACUAGGGAUGGGUAUAGUUUCUGACUGUGAGAACAGGAAAAGUAUAAACACUGAUUGUAAUGGCGAGUGCCUCACACGCAGGUACAGUAGUUCAUCUAUCCUGUUCCUUUACUCAUAACUAAUCUUUGGGUAUUAUGUCUAGCAGUGAUCCUAUUGGUGGGAGAUGACACAAUAUGGCAAGAUACCCUGACCCAGCAGAUGCAAAUAGUCUCUUUUUGCUUCCUGCUGAAUAUCCAAGGUGUUAUUCUCAGCAAAUAUAUGAAAAGAUAAUUGAACUUCACCUUUGCAGAAAUUGGCAUACAGCCCCCAAAUGAAGACUGUAAAACUAUCUGACGAUCUUGGUGCAAAAUGUCUCGAACAAUUUGGGCCAAAUGGGAUCAAACAAACCAAAAAAAAAAAUGAAUAAAUGAUAUGAAACAUCUUUCUCAUUUAGUGCCAAUGGUAUCAAACAAA